CCUACGGGUGGCUGCAGUGGGGAAUAUUGGGCAAUGGGCGCAAGCCUGACCCAGCAACGCCGCGUGAAGGAAGAAGGCUCUCGGGUUGUAAACUUCUUUUCUGGGGGAAGAACAAAUGACGGUACACCAGGAAUAAGCCACGGCUAACUACGUGCCAGCAGCCGCGGUAAUACGUAGGUGGCAAGCGUUAUCCGGAUUUAGUGGGUGUAAAGGGCGUGUAGGGGGGAAUGCAAGUCAGUUGUGAAAACUAUGGGCUCAACCCAUAGCCUGCAUUUGAAACUGUAUUUCUUGAGUGCAGGAGAGGCGAUCGGAAUUCCGGGUGUAGCGGUGAAAUGCGUAGAUAUACGGAGGAACACCAGUGGCGAAGGCGGAUUGCUGGACAGUAACUGACGCUGAGGCGCGAAAGCGUGGGUAGCAAACAGGAUUAGAUACCCGAGUAGUC
rnacentral:rRNA from 1 species